CAUGUCGGGGGUUUCGGGGUGGGAGGACUUCGGGGCUGGAGAGUCGGCUCCGGAAGCCAGGUUCCCACGGGAGCUUCCAUGCGUCCCUCACUCAGGACCCAGGUCCCUACGCGGUGGCUGCGACAGGCCCUGUCUCCUGCGCUGUAGCCGCUGCAGUGUCCCGCCCGGGGUCAGGCUGAGCUGCCUCCCUCGUGGCCCAGAGCCACCCUGCGCCCACGUCAGGAGUCUGCACGGGGUCCGUGCGCUGGGGGCAGAGGGAGACAGCUCCCCAAGGCCCCCAAAGCCAGGCCUCCUGGAGACGCGGGCGGGGGGACGUCUCUGGGGCAGGAGGAGGGGAAGGGUGAGGCUCGAGGCUGGCGGCCCUGUGACGUGGGGCAAUGAGGCCACCAGUCGGGGCUCUGGGUUUACCCGCCUGCACCCCCGGGGACAGUCCUCAGGUGGCAGCGCUGAGUUGUUGACAGACAGUCUCCUAUUUACGUGGCCGAUUCCGUGGGUAACUCCGGAAGCAGUGUGGACGUUGGGAGUGCUCCCUAGGGUGGGUGUUCACCCCCCACCCCCACCUCGAGGGUCUUGCUCCUCCCGGGGGCCCCUCCUUCCUGCUUCAGGGCUGUGCACUGGCUUCUCCAGUCUGGAUCCAGAACACCUGAAGGCCCGGUCAUCUGGUCAGCUCGGAUCAGGCCUGAGGGUCCCACGCCUGGGGACAUUCACAGCCCGGGCUGGGAGACACGAGCGGCUCAUCUGUGACACGUGUCUACCGUGUGCCACGUGGCCAGCUCGGCUCGAGCGGUGGCAUCUGUCCGUUGGGAUGUGGGCUCACACGCAGACCAACCCUAGAGCUUACUGCCAACAGCACCUGUGCACCCACCGGGGACGGGCAGGGACCACGGCUCCUGGAGCCGGAGUCCACGGACCGUCCGAAGACACAGCGGGGGGCUGGCCUCACCCCAGAGCGGCGUGUGUGCAUCCGUGGGUUUUCAGAGGCUGAGGGACCACCCAGCUUCAGUCUCCACCCUGGCGGGCAUGUGUCCUUGACCCACCCCGAGGCCCCUGUGGGCUGAGGGGUGCCCGUGUGUCCCCACGAGCCCUCGGGUGCCCUGGAAGGGCACAGCUUGGAGCCUGUGACUCUGUCACGUCCAGGGACUCGGGCCAGCAGAUCAACUCCCUGUCAUCCUGGGCAGGCUCUGCCCAGCUCCCCUCUCCGCCCCCCAGCAGCCCCCACAGCCCUGCGCCUGCGUCUGCACGGAGGGCCUGGCCGCCCGGGCCUGGGAUCCGUGGCCCCGCGGGGCCCGUCACAGGUCAGAGCCACCGGCACAGGCGGGGCCUCACUCUCGUGCCCUCCGUCCCUGUGUGGAUGGAGUCCAGCUGUGUGCGGGGCGCACGUGGGAGUGAGCGUGAGCGUGAGCUUACGUGCCGGGUCAGGCGCUUCUGUCGAUCCUGCAGGGAGCGUAACGAAGACGCACACUCACGUGGCUCUUGCUCACCAGGCGCUGUGCCAGCAGAGGGACAGAAGAUGGACACGCGGAUGGACAGACGGGCAGACCUGCUCCAGUGUUCACGGAGGCAUCGCGCACGGAGCAGACGGACAAGCGUGUGCAGUGGAGAAGAGCUUCUGAACCGUCACCCCCCACGGACAUCGUCUCUGGUCCAGCCUGAGAACAGGCUCUGAAGAGCUCAUACUUACCAUCUCAGAAAAGAAAACGGAACUUACUUGUCCUAAACUCGUGGGUCUGGAAAAUCCUGGAGGUGGUGAGGCGAUGCCCACAUCGUCCCAGGGUCUCGAGCGGGGACUGGAGCCCGCCAGGGUCCCCGGGUCCCGGGUGGUGGUGCCUGAAUCUGAUGGGCUCCGAUGGGUGCCCUGCCCACGCCAGGAGCCGUCCUCGGUGGUGAAUGAGCCCCUGCGGUGCUCACACCUGACUCACACGGGCCUGAGUGGACUUGGGGGGCCAAGCCCGCCCUGAGCUGAGAGCAGGGCCAGAGAACGACCCCUGGACGGGGUCCGUGCGCUGGGCCAGCGGAGGGGCAGACGUCCACGUGGCCCCCCACCACGAGCCCAGCCCACAUCGGUGCCAGGUCAUCCUCCCGGGGCCUGGUUUCUCCUCUGCCCCUCCCAGGGACCCCUAGGACAUGACUCCUCCAGGGACAGUCCUGCCUCCCGCAUCCCUUGGGCCCUGUCCCGUACUUUACAUUGGAAACAGAUGCCCCAGCAGAGUGACGGGACACGGUGGCCAGUGAGGACCUGAGCCAGGGUCUGUGGUGGGGAAUUCGUGUGUCGAGCCAGCUGGGCUGUGGUGCCCAGAUCCAGGGUCAAUGUUUCCGUGAGGGGGUUUCUGGAUGAGGCUGGCUGUGAAGUAUCAGUAAAGCGGGUUGCCCCCCCGAUGUGGGUGGGCCUCGUCCAAUCAGGGGACGGCCUGAGUGUCUCAGGGGUGGCCAGGAUGCAGAGAGGUGGGGAAAGCCCCCCAACACGACCCUCUCUAGUCGGCUUCUCCAGGGUGUGGCACCCCUCUGUCACCCACCAAAACCCCAAGUUCUCCUCCAUUUCUCCUGAGGCCUCUCCCCGCAGGGACGAGCUCCUCUGUGAAUGCGGGGUCCCGGGGAGGCUCCUGGAUGCCACGCGUCCCGGUGCCGGCCCCAGGGGCCCCACUCAGACGCACAGGGUGAAGGUCCCUGUGUCUCUGGGUCUGAGGACGGCUGUGACUCCGUGUCUGGCUGUGCGGGCACAGAGCGUCUCUGAGGCUUGUGGUAUUUUCACAAAAACUCCUCCCCAAAAUUUAUGAGCCUGAGAGCAACACAUUCAUUUCUGUGACACAGGAUGAAAUAAGGGGACAUUUUUCACGUUUCUGUUUUAAUUCGUUGGGCACCACGUGCGUGACUCCAGCCCGUCUGAAGGUUUUAAUUCAUGAAUUUGUUUUCAAAUAGCGUGUGAUUGGUAGGAGAGUGGGGGAGGGUGCCCCUCCCGAGAAAACCGUGGGGACUAUUCCCACU